rnacentral:rRNA from 1 species
CUGCGUUAAGCUCCAUCGGUUUCACGGUCACCUUGAGUAAAUCAGAGUGCUCAAAGCAGUCGUAGGGGCCUUGCGCCCUGUGAACAGUCUUGACGGACUGACUUGGUUUUGCAUGGCAUGUCGGAAGACGACGUCGUGUGCUGGCUCAGAGGAUAAAUCAGUGGUACAAGCCAGCCUCGACGUAAUGAUUAAAAGGGACGGUCGAGGGCAUUGGUAUUGCGAGGCGAGAGGUGAAAUUCUGUGACCCCCGCAAGACCUCCUGAAGCGAAAGCGUCUGCCAAGGACGUUUUCAUUAAUCAUGAACGAAAGUUAGAGGAUCGAAGGCGAUCAGAUACCGCCCUAGUUCUAACCCUAAACGAUGCCAACCAUCAAUCCGCGCGUAGCACCCUUCUUAACGGGCUCGGCGGGCAGCUCCCCACUCACGGGAAACCAGAGCCUCUGGGUUCCGGGGGGAGUCUGGUUGCAAAGCUGAAACUUAAAGGAAUUGACGGAAAGGCACCACCAGGCGUGGAGCCUGCGGCUUAAUUUGACUCAACACGGGCCAUCUCACCAGGCCAGCACUCUUGUACGAUUGACAGAUUGAGAGCUCUUUCUCGAUUCAGUGGAUGGUGGUGCAUGGCCGUUCUUAGUUGGUGGAGUGAUCUGUCUGGUUAAUUCCGAUAACGAACGAGACUCUCCCCUGCUAACUAGUCGGUUGGAUCUUGAUCAGCGGGUUGCGUGCCGAGUAACUCUCGCUGUGCGUGGGGGGUGCGUGGAUGGGCCUUCGGGUUCGUUGCGUGCUCUCUCGUGCGGUGUUGGAUGCCUUGGAUCACACUGCACCCCAAGUCCGCCGCUUAUGCUAUAACUCUUCUUAGAGGGAUUCACGGCACUGAAGCCGUAAGAGACUGAGAGCAAUAACAGGUCUGUGAUGCCCUUAGAUGCUCUGGGCCGCACGCGCGCUACAAUGCCGGGCACAGCAGGUGUUUCUCCUUCUCCGACAGGAGCGGGUAACCCUCUGAAAGCCAGUGUUCUUGCAAGUGCUUCCUCCCUCGUGGAGUUGCACAGAGGCGUGCUUGGGCCUGGGACUUGCAAUUCUUUCCCACCAACGAGGAAUGCCUAGUA